rnacentral:rRNA from 1 species
GAAAAAGGUGUAAGGAGGGUGAGAGCAGCGGAGGGGAUCAUU